rnacentral:tRNA from 1 species
GGUUGGCUCAGUGGUAGAGUGCUGUGCUUUGCAUGCACAAGGUCCUGGGUUCAAUCCCCAGCACCA